rnacentral:snRNA from 1 species
AUAAAUGGAGAACGCUACAGCCAUGUUGUAAAGAUAGUUUUCGCAGGGAGAGGCUCAUCCAUUGCACUUUGCAUAUGCUGUUGACCCCUGUGAUUUCCCCAAAUGUGGGGAGCUCAACUACAUAAUUUGUGUUAAUGGGGGUAUUAUGUUUGUGAUUUCUCUG